CCUACGGGAGGCAGCAGUGAGGAAUAUUGGUCAAUGGCCGGGAGGCUGAACCAGCCAAGUCGCGUGAGGGAAGACGGCCCUACGGGUUGUAAACCUCUUUUGUCAGGGAGCAAGGUGCAGGUCGGGACCUGCUGUGAGAGUACCUGAAGAAAAAGCCUCGGCUAACUCCGUGCCAGCAGCCGCGGUAAUACGGAGGAUGCGAGCGUUAUCCGGAUUUAUUGGGUUUAAAGGGUGCGCAGGCGGAGGCACAAGUCAGCGGUAAAAUCGCGGGGCUCAACCCCGCUCCGCCGUUGAAACUGUGGCCCUUGAGUGCGCGAAGGGUAGGCGGAAUGCGUGGUGUAGCGGUGAAAUGCAUAGAUAUCACGCAGAACUCCGAUCGCGAAGGCAGCCUACCGGCGCGCAACUGACGCUCAUGCACGAAAGCGUGGGUAUCGAACAGGAUUAGAUACCCCAGUAGUC
rnacentral:rRNA from 1 species